CGCAAUAUAAAAGUUGUGACCACGCCUAAACUUCGCGACUACAGUAUCUCGUGGAAGUGAGGGACGGGCAGCUUUGCCCCGGGGUAGGGGGAUAACGGUUUGGAUAUACUAAUGGGUGAUGAUUGAGUGCUGUGGAUCGAAAAACACUGAACAUGAUCCGUCGCUGAUGUUUAUCCACGGGAAAAACCCAUGAGGUCAUGCCAAGGUCAGAGGUCAGGUCAUAUGACAGGAACACAAUGAUCCCACGAUGGGAAAAACAACGACGGUAAAACUACAAACAUUCUGGAUUUUCCGUCUUUUAUUGUGGCAACAUACGUACGAGGCCGAUCCGGUUUCGACAUGAUUCGAUUCGUCCUACCCAAAGAAAAUAAAACAACUUUCUUUGCUGUGAGACUUUGGCUGGAAAGAAACUGGUUUCGUUUUCAGAAUGAGUUUAUACAAAAAUAACCCAAACAGUAAAGUAUGUUCGGCUUGUUUGUUUGUGGUACGCUGAGAUCCAUGUAUAAGCGAUGUCUCUCCUCUGAAAAUGGACUGCCAGAAUCUGUGAACAUAAAAAGAUAUUUAAAACAAACAAAUCGGUAAACGUCAAAAUUGAAAUAUAUACCUCUAGAAAACGAACGAAGCACCUCACAAAAAGAACCUAUUUCACAGUGAACAUUAUCUUCUGGCAAUGACAUCGUGACGGCUGUUAACAAGAUUGUGUCAUCAGCGCAAAUAACUCAGUCAACUAGUUUUAGGUUCGACAGGAAAACUGUUUGUUUACUUUACAGAUUGUGAGCGACUGGGAGCCUCGUUGUGCAAUAGCUUCUCAUCAUAAGUAUGCAAUGAAGAAUAAAUGUUUUUUACAUGUUUAAAA